rnacentral:rRNA from 1 species
GACGAACGCUGGCGGCGUGCUUAACACAUGCAAGUCGAACGGAAAGGCCCUGCUUUUGUGGGGUGCUCGAGUGGCGAACGGGUGAGUAACACGUGAGUAACCUGCCCUUGACUUUGGGAUAACUUCAUGAAACUGGGGCUAAUACCGGAUAGGAGCUCCUGCUGCAUGGUGGGGGUUGGAAAGUUUCGGCGGUUGGGGAUGGACUCGCGGCUUAUCAGCUUGUUGGUGGGGUAGUGUCUUACCAAGGCUUUGACGGGUAGCCGGCCUGAGAGGGUGACCGGCCACAUCGGGACUGAGAUACGGCACAGACUCCUACGGGAGGCAGCGGUGGGGAAUAGUGCACAAUGGGCGGAAGCCUGAUGUAGCAAAGCAGCGUGCGGGAUGACGGCAUUCGGGUUGUAAACCGCUUUCGCCUGUGACGAAGCGUGAGUGACGGUAAUGGGUAAAGAAGCACCGGCUAACUACGUG